UAUGUCACGUCUCCAAUGAUGAUUAUGUGGUUCUCCUCACAGGUUGACUCUGCUGUCAAUGAAUUUCUUGAACUGCACCAAGUUUUCGCGAAUCUCCAUUCGCACAAUCUCCCAUGCGCAUGCGCUGUGUUCCUGGAGGGCGGACAAGAUAAACAUUUUAUGUCAGUCAACUCAACCACUGCAGGUGUUGUUGAUCCAGCGCAUCCAUCGACAUAAAAACGGCACUUGGCAAUUCCAUGUUUCAAAUAGUAACCGACCCUCCAUCGCCAGAGGAUUCCCAAACACCACCCACGACCUGGAGACAAUAUAAAAUGCUGCCUAAAUACGUCAGGGGCAUGUGUUCCACGGCGAGACUGGCCCACGUUGACUCCAAUACUUCCCACAGUUGUGUCAUGUUGGCUUGAUGUCCAAUAGGAGUGGAUCUAACAAGUGAGGGAUCAUUGCUUUCACCUGGAUUCAGCUGGAAAGUCUAUGUCAUGGAAAGAGCCGGUAUUUCUAAUGUUUUGUACAAUCAGCGUAUAACCUACAGCCUACACAAGAGGGUUCAUACUUACACAUAACUCUAAGUUUUGAACUUGACGAUAUAUGACGUUUUGGAACAUGUUAAGUUUUGUUCUGUUCCACGUGACUGGCGUCAGACUGUUGUUAUAUAAUUGGUCCACAUAUCGCAUAGCCUCUAAUGCAACCAACGAGACGUCCUCACCCUGAAUAAAAUAAAACAGGGUUUUAGGUUUUAGGCAAUGGUUAAACUACCAAUUUAGCAUACUGUACUUUAGUGAUACCUAACUUUAGGCUAUCAAUAUACUGAAGUGUAUCCUACCUCUGUGUUCUUGUAAAGAUCCUCUGGAGACAUUUGUUCGACGUUUUCUUCUGCACACAUAAGUGGAAAGAGUCCACCCUGAAAUAGAAUUCAUAUCAAUAUCAAGAAGUAAACUAUAUUGUGCUAGUAACCUUAAAUUAAACAUUGUGGUACAGAAAGUGAAAGCAUUGAUUAAAAAUAAAAUGUGUUAUAAUAAAAAAAAUAGAUGUUUGAAUAUCAUUGCGAAUUUUGCUCAUCAAUUGUGCACACCAAAUAGCGGACUGCUGCAGUUUAUUUUCCUCACCAUAUCUGAGAGCAGGUUUAUGCUCACAUCGUUCAGCUUCCCCAACCUAAACUGCGUCCACCUGCAAGGUUUUGCUGCUGCUGUGCCUUGGCAGAACAGAGUCAGGCAAAUGCUCAACCAUUUCAAUACAGCCAUGUUUCUUUUAUAAGAACUUGAAUGGAACAGCGAUUAAAAAUGAUUAACGAUAGGAUUAUCUUUAUCUUGAUUGAUAUGAUACCUAGACUGUUGAAGUUGCCCAUUUUAUAUAACCCAAGUAUCGCUACGUAAAGGUAUCAAAAUCCCUUUGUGGUGAAGAAUGUGUUUCAUGGUUCAGACUUUCGCUUCCCUUUAUAAGCCCCAAUUCUUAAUUAUGCUAUUGUAAAACUAAUCAGAAAAUGUUUUCCUAUCAAGUUAACAUUUUUCAUAUGUAGAGAAUUGCACUGUAGCAAUGCAUUUCAUGCUAACAUAUUCAGUAGGUGUUCAAAUGUAGGCCAUAUUGAAUAUUAAAAACCGUGGCUGAUUUGUUAUUUCUAUAAUACAAUGGUACAGGGCUUUCUCCUAUAAAAUGAGGGCCUUGUUCAAUAUAAAUUGCUGUACUUUUGGAAACUGCACACCACAUUUUUCAGAUUCUGUGUAGAAAGGUAUUUUGAUAGGAGUAGCAUGGAGAUGAAUUUUUGCUCACACACGUUUAAUCUGUUGUCGACACU